UACGUAGGGUGCAAGCGUUAAUCGGAAUUACUGGGCGUAAAGCGUGCGCAGGCGGUUAUGUAAGACAGUUGUGAAAUCCCCGGGCUCAACCCUGGGAACUGCAUCUGUGACUGCAUAGCUAGAGUACGGUAGAGGGGGAUGGAAUUCCGCGUGUAGCAGUGAAAUGCGUAGAUAUGCGGAGGAACACCGAUGGCGAAGGCAAUCCCCUGGACCUGUACUGACGCUCAUGCACGAAAGCGUGGGGAGCAAACGAGG
rnacentral:rRNA from 1 species